UACAGAGGUCCCAAGCGUUGUUCGGAUUCAUUGGGCGUAAAGGGUGCGUAGGCGGUGCAGAAAGUUGGGUGUGAAAGCCCUCGGCUCAACCGAGGAAUUGCGCCCAAAACUGCUGCACUAGAGGAAGACAGAGGUACGCGGAACUUAGGGUGGAGCGGUGAAAUGCGUUGAUAUCCUAAGGAACACCGGUGGCGAAAGCGGCGUACUGGGUCUUAUCUGACGCUGAGGCACGAAAGCUAGGGGAGCGAACGGG
rnacentral:rRNA from 1 species